rnacentral:rRNA from 2 species
GACUCUCGGCAAUGGAUAUCUCGGCUCUCGAAUCGAUGAAGAACGUAGCAAAAUGCGAUACUUUAUGUGAAUUGCAGAAUUCCGUGGAGAUGGUGUUUGUUCGGAAGCAGUGCUGCAAUGUAA